GAGCCCCUUGGCGAGGGAAAGAACGAGCUGUUGUCCUGCAGGCAGUUUCGUGCCCACCAGGCUCGGGGGCUGAGGGGCCCCCAGGGAGCUGUUGUUGCCCUCCCCAUGGCUCCCAGUAGCCUCCAUUCUUGCAGGCCGCGAGUGGGUGCUGCCCUGGCAGAGGGACUGGGGUUGGCUCCUCAGCAGCAGCAGCGGUGGGGCCGUGCUCCAUCCACUUGCGUCAAUGCAGACCUUUCCACAGACUCCAGUCGGGGUUGGAUCAAGCCUUGCAUGAUUGUGGCCCUUCAUCUGUUGCAGCCGGGAUACAUUCCUUGAUCGUUUCUGAGUCUGCAAUUAUUUUUAUGCCUGCCCAGUGUCCCAGAGAUGUGAAACGAAGCUGCCAUGCUAUGCUGCUGAGCCCUGAAACUCUACACAGACAUUCAAUUUAAUCUCUUGGAACAGACUGCAUUAAAGUAGUGUCAUCAGUGCACACUUGUGAUAAAAAGACAACAUGAAGAAAGACAGUGAACUAAAAGGCCCUGGUUUUUUUUUUUUUUUUCUGGGGAGAAAAUAGGGUAUCUGUCCCUUCAUUUGUUUCAUGGCUUCCUUGCACAGCCAUUUAAAUUCAGCAGAAGGCUCCAAGUGUCUAAACUUUAUCCUGAGCAUUUUUUUUCAGUGCUGGAAAGGAAUACAGUUAAGUGUCCCAGAGGGAAUUUUAUAGAAAAUGCUGUGUGCAAUGUUAAUGACUUGGGAUGGGGUUGUAGGUUUUCCAUGGAGAGACAGUAGGGAAACAAAUACAGGACUUGAUGAGAAGUGUUCUGCAGGGAUCCACUGCUCCAUGGCUCCAAGGACUGCCAGAAGGAUAAUGAGGGCUUUAACCCAAGGUGCCCCCUUGUGCCUCUGUCCUGCUCCAUACCAGAGCUCUCUGAGUAUCUGGAGCUGGAAGAAAUGACAAACUUCUUGGGUGCCACAAGAGAUUGCAUCAGCAUUACUGAUCCUUACUCGGCUCGUUACUGAAAAUGCAUCAAGCAGCUAUUUGGGUCAGACUGCUAAAUUUGUAGACACGGAGUGUCAAGAAGCCUUUUUGUCAACUUGGUACUGUUUAGUGUUAUUUGUCUUCAAGUUCAAAGCAAUCCUGGCCUCAGACUUGUGAUAUUUUCUGCCCUUUCCCCUUUCUGUUGGCUCAGACCUCUUCCCUUUGAGGUCAACAUCAAAAUAAAGAUGUAUGUUUCCUCAGCCUGA